rnacentral:rRNA from 1 species
GAUGAACGCUGGCGGCGUGCUUAACACAUGCAAGUCGAACGGUGAAGCAGGAGCUUGCUCCUGUGGAUCAGUGGCGAACGGGUGAGUAACACGUGAGCAAUCUGCCCUGGACUCUGGGAUAAGCGUUGGAAACGACGUCUAAUACCGGAUACGAGACGCGAAGGCAUCUUCAGCGUCUGGAAAGAACUUCGGUCCAGGAUGAGCUCGCGGCCUAUCAGCUAGUUGGUGAGGUAACGGCUCACCAAGGCGACGACGGGUAGCCGGCCUGAGAGGGUGACCGGCCACACUGGGACUGAGACACGGCCCAGACUCCUACGGGAGGCAGCAGUGGGGAAUAUUGCACAAUGGGCGCAAGCCUGAUGCAGCAACGCCGCGUGAGGGACGACGGCCUUCGGGUUGUAAACCUCUUUUAGCAGGGAAGAAGCGAAAGUGACGGUACCUGCAGAAAAAGCACCGGCUAACUACGUGCCAGCAGCCGCCGUAAUAC